AAAGAGGCGGAGGGGCAGGAAAUGGAGAAGUUACUACAUAUUACACAAUUAUCUCUAGAGAGGGAGUUGCAAGUCCAUUUGUAACAUCUGAUGAAGGAAGAGUUCCUUUUCCCCUCCCUUUUCAAGCCCUGCAGAUGUCUCUCUGGAUAUGUAACCCCUAAGAUUGAACCACUGCAUCUUGGGGUUGGGGCGUGUGCUGAUCUCCAGAGAAA
rnacentral:lncRNA from 1 species